UGAAUACGAGAUGCUACGGCAUCGAAGCAGUCUAUGUCAUACUUCCAAGAAAAGCUUGCACUGUCAUAAACAAAUAAUGCCUGUACCAUAACCGACACAGGUGGGUAGGUAGAGUAUACUAAGGGGCGCGAGAUAACUCUCUCUAAGGAACUCGGCAAAAUGACUCUGUAACUUCGGGAGAAGGAGUGCCUUAUUUUAUAAGGUUGCAAUAACAAGAUCCAAGCAACUGUUUACCAAAAACACAGGUCUCCGCUAAGUCGUAAGACGAUGUAUGGGGGCUGACGCCUGCCCAGUGCCAGAAGGUUAAAGAAGUUGGUUAGCAUUAGCGAAGCUGAUAACUGAAGCCCUGGUGAACGGCGGCCGUAACGAUAACGGUCCUAAGGUAGCGAAAUUCCUUGUCGGGUAAGUUCCGACCCGCACGAAAGGCGUAAUGAUUUGGAUACUGUCUCGGAGAGGGGCUCGGUGAAAUAGACUUGUCUGUGAAGAUGCGGACUACCUGCACCAGGACAGAAAGACCCUAUGAAGCUUUACUGUAACUUGAGAUUGAAAUUGGACUUUAUUUGCGCAGUAUAGGUGGGAGGCGUUGAAAAUAUUCUUGCGGGAAUAUUGGAGUCAUCAGUGAGAUACCACUCUUAUAAUGUUAGAUUUCUAACUUUGUAUCAUUAUCUGGUCAAAGAACAGUCUCAGGCGGGCAGUUUGACUGGGGCGGUCGCCUCCCAAACGGUAACGGAGGCGCACAAAGGUUUCCUCUGAACGUGUAGAAAUCGUAUCUAGAGUGUAAAGGCAUAAGGAAGCUUGACUGUGAGACCUACAAGUCGAGCAGGGACGAAAGUCGGUCUUAGUGAUCUGACGGUGCUGAGUGGAAAGGCCGUCACUCAACGGAUAAAAGUUACUCUAAGGAUAACAGGCUGAUCUCCCCCAAGAGUUCACAUCGACGGGGAGGUUUGGCACCUCGAUGUCGGCUCAUCGCAUCCUGGGGCGGUAGUACGUCCCAAGGGUUGGGCUGUUCGCCCAUGAAAGCGGUACGCGAGCUGGGUUCAGAACGUCGUGAGACAGUUCGGUCCAUAUCCGGUGUAGGCGUUAGAAUAUUGAGAGGAGCCUUCUUUAGUACGAGAGGACCGAGAAGGACAUACCUCUGGUGUACCAGUUAUCGUGCCAACGGUAAACGCUGGGUAGCUAUGUAUGGAGAGGAUAACCGCUGAAAGCAUCUAAGUGGGAAGCCCACCUCAAGAUAAGUAUUCUC
rnacentral:rRNA from 1 species